rnacentral:rRNA from 1 species
CCCCUAGUAACUGCGAGUGAAGCGGGAAAAGCUCAAAUUUAAAAUCUGGCGGUCUCCGGCCGUCCGAGUUGUAAUUUAGAGAAGCGUUAUCCGUGCUGGACCGUGUAUAAGUCUCCUGGAAUGGAGCGUCAUAGAGGGUGAGAAUCCCGUCUUUGACACGGACUACCAGUGCAUUGUGAUGCGCUCUCGACGAGUCGAGUUGUUUGGGAAUGCAGCUCAAAAUGGGUGGUAAAUGCCAUCUAAAGCUAAAUAUUGGCGAGAGACCGAUAGCGAACAAGUACCGUGAGGGAAAGAUGAAAAGAACUUUGGAAAGAGAGUUAAACAGUACGUGAAAUUGUCGAAAGGGAAACGGUUGCAGUCAGUCGCGUCCGCCGGGGAUCAACCUUGCUUUUGCUUGGCGUAUUUCCCGGUGGAUGGGUCAGCAUCAGUUUUGACCGCCGUUGAAAGGCUGGAGGAAUGUGGCACCUUCGGGUGUGUUAUAGCCUCCUGUCAUAUGCUGCGGUUGGGACUGAGGAACUCAGCACGCCGCAAGGCCGGGAUUCGUCCACGUUCGUGCUUAGGAUGCUGGCAUAAUGUCUGUAACCGA